UCCACGGAGAAAUGCUUCCGCUUAAGAGAUUUAAUCGAAGAACUAAUCAAAAGCGGACACCUUCGCAAAUUUAUUGACGACGCCGCCCAAGGGCGAGUUGUCGUGCCAAAAGCUCCCCGGCAGGAGCCACGAGACCCUCCUGGGCCAAACAGAGAGCCUCCCAAGGGGAGGAUCUCCGUAAAUACAAUAGCGGGGGGAUUCUCAGGCGGGGGCGAAUCAAGCUCAGCAAGGAAAAGGUAUGUACGCCGAGCCAUCUCGGAGAUAUACCUCGUAAGUCAACCCCAGCCAUUAGACGUACCGGAUUUGGCAUUCACGGCAAAGGAUGGUUUGGAGGUAGCACCCCACGACGAUGAUCCCUUAGUGAUACAAGUCCAAAUUUUGAACUGUGAUGUGAAAAGAG
rnacentral:lncRNA from 1 species